rnacentral:rRNA from 1 species
AUUGAACGCUGGCGGCAUGCUUUACACAUGCAAGUCGAACGGUAACAGCACUUCGGUGGCUGACGAGUGGCGAACGGGUGAGUAAUGUAUCGGAACGUGCCCAGUAGUGGGGGAUAACUACUCGAAAGAGUGGCUAAUACCGCAUGAGAUCUCUGGAUGAAAGCGGGGGACCGUAAGGCCUCGCGCUACUGGAGCGGCCGAUAUCAGAUUAGGUUGUUGGUGGGGUAAAGGCCUACCAAGCCUGCGAUCUGUAGCUGGUCUGAGAGGACGACCAGCCACACUGGGACUGAGACACGGCCCAGACUCCUACGGGAGGCAGCAGUGGGGAAUUUUGGACAAUGGACGCAAGUCUGAUCCAGCAAUGCCGCGUGCAGGACGAAGGCCUUC